rnacentral:lncRNA from 10 species
AAUGUCCUCUAGGGAUGUGGCAAUAGGAAUAAUCUUAUCUCAGACCAUAAUUGGGUUCCUGAUGAAAAUAUUUUUUCUUUAGCAUUGUAUUUCUCUUUAUUUCACCAAAUGCACAUUAAGGUCUACAGAUCUGAUUCUCAAACACCUGGCUGUAGCCACCUCCUUUGUGAUACUUUAUAAAGGAGCCCCACAGAGAAUGCCUGCUUUUGGGUUGAAACAUUUUCUCAAUCAUAAUUAGGUACAAACUUGUUUUCUAUGUUCACAAAGUGGGCAGGGCUGUGUGCAUUGGCACCACUUGCCUUUUGAAUAUCUUCUAGGCCAUCACAGUCAGCCCCAUGUACUCCUGCUGGGCAGACCUGAAACUACAAGCUCCCAAAUAGAAUGGGUGCUCCAACAUCCUCUGCUGGAUUGUGAUAUGCUGGUAACCGCACGUGACUGGCAAGUGGAAUGGCGAAAACAACACAAAGAAGGAUUUGGUUACUGUUCUGCAGUAGUUAAUAACUGAUAUGGUUUGGCUAUGUCCCCACUCAAACCUCAUCUUGAAUUCCUAUGUGUUGUGGGAGGAACUUGGUGGGAGGUGAUUGAAUUAUGGGGGCAGGUCUUUUCUGUAUUGUUCUCGGGAUGGUGAAUGAGUCUCAUGAGACCUGAUGGUUUUAAAAACAGGAGUUUCCCUGUACAAGCUCUCUCUUUGCCUGCUCCCAUCCAUGUAAGACCUGACUUGCUCCUGCUUACCUUCCGCCAUGAUUGUGAGGCCUCCCCAACCAUGUGGAACUGAAAGUUUGUUAAACCUUUUUUUCUUCCCAGUCUUGGGUAUGUCUUUAUCAGCAAUG